rnacentral:misc_RNA from 1 species
GAUGAAGAACGCAGCGAAAUGCGAUAAGUAAUGUGAAUUGCAGAAUUCAGUGAAUCAUCGAAUCUUUGAACGCACAUUGCGCCCGCCAGCACUCUGGCGGGCAUGCCUGUUCGAGCGUCAUUUCAACCAUCAAGCCCCCAGGGGCUUGUGCUGGGGCCCUGCGGCUGCCCGCAGGCCCUGAAAACCAGUGGCGGGCUCGCUAGUCACACCGAGCGCAGUAGCACAUCUCGCUCAGGGCGUGCGGCGGGCUCCUGCCGUGAAACCCCCCACUGUAACCCCAAAGGUUGACCUCGGAUCAGGUAGGAAUACCCGCUGAACUUAAGCAUAUCAUAAGCGGAGGA